rnacentral:tRNA from 1 species
AGUUUUGUUACUUAGUUAGUUAAACGUCGGUCUUGCGAUACGAAGUCGUGGGUUCGAAUCCCGCCAAAACAA